rnacentral:rRNA from 1 species
CAGGUCACUCCUACGGGAGGCAGCAGUGGGGAAUAUUGGACAAUGGGCGCAAGCCUGAUCCAGCAAUGCCGCGUGUGUGAAGAAGGCCUUCGGGUUGUAAAGCACUUUUAUCAGGAGCGAAAUACUACUGGCUAAUAACCGGUGGGGCUGACGGUACCUGAGGAAUAAGCACCGGCUAACUUCGUGCCAGCAGCCGCGGUAAUACGAAGGGUGCAAGCGUUAAUCGGAAUUACUGGGCGUAAAGCGUGCGUAGGCGGUGAGUUAAGUCUGUUGUGAAAUCCCCGGGCUCAACCUGGGAAUGGCAAUGGAUACUGGCUCGCUAGAGUGUGAUAGAGGAUGGUGGAAUUCCCGGUGUAGCGGUGAAAUGCGUAGAGAUCGGGAGGAACAUCAGUGGCGAAGGCGGCCAUCUGGAUCAACACUGACGCUGAGGCACGAAAGCGUGGGGAGCAAACAGGAUUAGAUACCCUGGUAGUCCACGCCCUAAACGAUGCGAACUGGAUGUUGGUCUCAACUCGGAGAUCAGUGUCGAAGCUAACGCGUUAAGUUCGCCGCCUGGGGAGUACGGUCGCAAGACUGAAACUCAAAGGAAUUGAC